AACGAACGCUGGCGGCAUGCCUAACACAUGCAAGUCGAUCGAGAUCUUCGGAUCUAGUGGCGCACGGGUGCGUAACGCGUGGGAAUCUGCCCUUGGGUUCGGAAUAACAGUUAGAAAUGACUGCUAAUACCGGAUGAUGUCUUCGGACCAAAGAUUUAUCGCCCAGGGAUGAGCCCGCGUAGGAUUAGGUAGUUGGUGGGGUAAGAGCCUACCAAGCCGACGAUCCUUAGCUGGUCUGAGAGGAUGAUCAGCCACACUGGGACUGAGACACGGCCCAGACUCCUACGGGAGGCAGCAGUGGGGAAUAUUGGACAAUGGGCGAAAUCCUGAUCCAGCAAUGCCGCGUGAGUGAUGAAGGCCUUAGGGUUGUAAAGCUCUUUUACCCGGGAUGAUAAUGACAGUACCGGGAGAAUAAGCUCCGGCUAACUUCGUGCCAGCCGCCGCGGUAAAAC
rnacentral:rRNA from 1 species